rnacentral:lncRNA from 1 species
AGUGAGGUGGCUGCAGCUUACAACAAGCAACACGUCCUGGCAGCAAAGGGAAGGUGACGCUCCAACAAGCAAGCAUCAGCCCACACACGGUCCAGAGUAGCUGAAGGUGUCUCGGCCUGCACACAUUAACGGGUUUCACGCUUCUAGCUUGGAGAAUCCAGCAGCGUUGAUGAAGAGCUUCACACAUCCAGCCUUCACGGCCCAGCAGCUUGGACAUUCUCUGCCACAUCUCCACAUCGUCUAGCUUUGGAGCAGCUUACACGUCCAGCAAGGGGCUGCAAAGGAAAACUCCAUUAUGGGCUUGAAGUAGGUUGAUUAACGUCCAACACGGCCUGGGAAGCAUUGCUUCGUGGUGCACACAGCAGCUUUGAGACACAGCCUUCACGGCCUAGUCCAGCAUCGAGAAGGGCAUCAAGCUGCAGUAACACUGAGGAGAGGGAGGAUCCUUUAAAAAGGGCAUUGUUACAUUGGCGAGGGGGACACAGCCGACAGAGGGGGACUAUGGACUGUGGACGGAUUUUCUCUGGAAACAUGGUUUUAUUAGGUGAUUUUUGAUGAAUGAGAAGAGAGAGCUCACAGCCUUACGGAGCUUCCAGCAGCCACACUCAUUUCCUUUUCUUUUAGGCUUUUUCUUUAAACGUUUUUUUGAGAGGAGGGUUUGGAAAAAUUACACUGCUUUGCAUUGGUUGAAUGAAAUGUGCACAGUUACUCUUUCUUUUGAUUUUUGGUGAAAGCUGGAAUGUUUUCUUUUGUUUCUUAAUUGGAAGAAAACAGCGCGCGGUCUGUAUCAAGGUUUCUUUAACCUCUUUCUUUUAUGCUAGAAUGGUGAAGAAGAACGAAUGUUUGAUUGCAAGUUGUUCAUUUAUUCCCUUUUCAUUUAUUCCCUUUCUUAAGGUCACACAUUUCUUUCUGUUUGAAGUUUUAUUAAGCUGAUUUUGUUGAAAAAGGAAAACCACGGUGGUUAAUGUGGAGAGCUAUAGCCGUCACCUAGCUAUUAGCAUGUUGUUUUUAUUUUAAACUUAUUUCAUUUAGUAGAAGUAUUGUCCCAUCAUGGUAGGUAAAUUAGAGUUUUGGAAAAGUCAAAGUCAUUACUUUGGAAGAGGACUUAUGUGUUUGAUAGUUGAUUUAAAGAGAAUAGUUUCAUUUCAUCCAUUGCAUGAAUGGGAGCCACGACCAUGAGUGUCUCUUUUAGGCCAUUUGCAAUUUUAAUUCAUUUGGUAGAUAUACCUAGGUCACGUGAAUGGAAGAAAAAAAAUUUAUGUUGUUUACUUCUUUUGCUUUUAAUUUAUUUUACAUAGUUUGUUGAGUUGUGUGUUAUGUUUCUAAUUUACUGUUGCAUUUUCAAUGUUCUUAAUAAUGUUCGGUUGUAUUUAAUUUCCAGUUUUAAUUUAAUUUAAUUCUCCUUGCAAGAACACUUUCACAACCCCCCCUACGUGUCAGACCUAACAUUCGAACCACAUUUGGUCCUUGAGAGACGACCUAGGGGUCAUUCCCUAGUUAUACUGCGUUGAGUUGUGUGUUAUGUUUCUAAUUUACUGUUGCAUUUUCAAUGUUCUUAAUAAUGUUCGGUUGUAUUUAAUUUCCAGUUUUAAUUUAAUUUAAUUCUCCUUGCAAGAACACUUUCACAACCCCCCCUACGUGUCAGACCUAACAUUCGAACCACAUUUGGUCCUUGAGAGACGACCUAGGGGUCAUUCCCUAGUUAUACUGCAUUUCUCAUAUGCAAUCAAAUUUGUAUGGGUUGCGGCAGCUCAUCAAAAUUUUGGCGCCGUUGGCGGGGACCAACGGUUCGGUUUUAGGUCUUUUGUUGUGUUUGUGUGUGUUGUGUUUUGUCUCGUGUUGUGAGUUGGUUGUUCCGUUUUGUAUGUCGUGUCAUGUGUGUUGCAUUUAGAUAGCUUUAGUUGCAUAUUUUCAUUGCAUUCUUCUUUCCCCCUUUCUUUCUACAUGUCUACCUAUUUUGAUUAUGUGGAUACUGUUUCUUCUGCCUGUGCCUAUGACUAUGAUUCUCCUCCUGCAUUUAACUCUAAUAUUGCUUCUCAUGCAUAUUCUGCUGAUUUUUAUGUCGAGAACAAUAUGACUCAUCCUUCCAUUCUUGAGAGUGUUCUUUGGGAGCCGGUUCCACUUGAUGAGGUUGAUGUUCAUUGCGUUCUCACCUCUGGACUAAGAGAUUUGCUGCCUAGGUUUUAUGGUUCUGCAGGUGAAUUCCCACACAGACAUUUGGAGGAGUUCUACACCAUUUGCUCUUCAAAGAAACCUCUUCAUGUCCCUGAUGAUCACAUGUUUUUAAGGGCAUUUCGGCAUUCAUUAGAAGAAGCAGUACGGGAGUGGCUUAUUUAUCUUCCUCCAAAAUUCAAGGCCAAUUGGGAAGAUCUUAAGCAUUUGUUUUUGGAUAGAUUCUCCCCUACUCAGCAUCAUUUUGAUUCAUAUAGCAACGAUCCUAGGUGGAAUGAUCCUGACCUAGGAUGGUAUGGUACUUCACAGCUUCAAUAUCAAGAACCACCAUUCCAGAGUACUUGUGUGCCUUCCACUGUCCAGCAACAACAGCAGUUAUAGCUUCAUGAGCCUGCCCAAGCAACUCCUCAUCCUUCCACUACUUCUGAGCCUACAUUGAAGGAGUUAUUGGAGCAUAUGACUAUUUAGAACAUUCAGUUCCAGCAAGUGAGCAUGGAGUUUCAGCAGGAGAUCAGAGCAUCCAUUCAGAGUUUGACGGAUCAGAUGGGGCAGAUGACUACUCAACUCACCGAGGAACAGUCUCAAGUUUCAGAGGAAUCAUCUUUCUAAACUGCUCAGCUUCCAGAUGAUGUCAGUGCCAUCCACAUAGGAGAUGAGAAGCAUAGUCAUGAGUUUACUACUGCACCAUCUACUUUCCCACCCUCCUAUGUCCCCACUCUUGCAUCUGAGGGGACUGAUAAAGAAUUGGAGGAACAGGAAGAUAUGAGAAACACCUUUGAGAUAGGUAGACCACUGUCAUCUUCCACCACUUUAACCACAUCCAGGGAAGUGGAGGUAAGCAUGCCUAAGAUUGAUUCUGUUGUUGAUGAUCAUUUUGUUGAUAGGUAUGUUAUUGAUGAUUGUAUUAUUGAUGAGCAUGAUUUUCAUACCCCUAUUUGCAUGAUGAGAACCAUUUUGUGUUAUCACAUCUGAAUGUUUGUUCUCCAUGCACUGAACAUGAAUCUGAACCUGUGAUUGAUAUUGUUUCUAUUUCUGAAAUUGAUUCAUGUUUUGAGGGUAUAUCUGAGGUUCAUCAUGUUACACUGGGAUUGGGUGUUAUACCCCUACAUGUUAUUUCUGUGGAACCAUAUUGCACUAACCAUGUUGCAAGAAGUACAUAUGAAUUUUACCAACACACACCCAUGGUGGAAGACAAAGGUGCCGACAGUUUGAAGAUUAAUAGGCACCAGUUGAACCUGCUCAUCAACAAUCACUGUUUCUUAGAUCCAGCUAUGGAGGACAUCUCCUUGCUUGAUCAAAUAUGGAGGAUGAAGCAAUUCUUCCUCAACACCUCCUUGCUAAAUCUUGUGGUGGAAGACAUCUCCCUUAAUAGCCACCAUGAUCAGGGGAGUUUUCUUUUCCCUUCUUCUCCUUCUUUCCUCACUUCUAUUGCACUUGUCCUUGAUUUGUAGCCUGUUUUGAUUGCUGAUCUUAUGUUUGUGACACAUUGAGGACACUGUGUAGUUUAAGUGUGGUCUAUUGGGGGAGAGUCUGAUUUGUCGUUGUUAGUUUAUGUUUUCUGUGUUAAAUUUUUUUGUUUUCUAGGUAGUUUUUGUUGUGUCUUGUAUACAGUUUUGCAUGUUUCUCUUGGGUUCUGGACUUUGUUUAGGUUGUAGAUGUGUCUUGCACUUCAUUGAUACUCUGAUUUGUUUGGAAUUCCUUGCCUUUCUUUGCUUGGAAAGAUGAUUAUGACGUUUGAGAGGUUGAUUUGAUUGUGACAAUUACCCUGUGUGAGAUUUGAGCCACUUAAUGUUCUUACUUGUGUGAUAUGUCUCUUGAUUGCUUGCACAUAUGCCUUGGCUUGACUCUUGUUGAUGAUUCUUGAUUGAUAUGCAUGUUUGGAAGUGAUAAAGGCAACUUUGUUGUUGAGCCCUUCUAGCCAAAUGAGCCUACCUUGUUGUGAUCCUUUGAUAACCCUUUUGAGCCUAUACUUUCCUCAUCUCUUUGUUUUGAAGCUCAUACACUAGCCCUAACUGAAAAACCAUGAUUACCUUAACCUUAGGGAAUUUUGGAGCUUUGGAAUNGUUUUGGGAAUAAGUGUGGUCUCUUGGGAUAUUCAGAUGAAUUGGCUAGAUUGGUUCCUCUUCUUGUUUGUGUUUUUGUAAAUACAUGGUGUAUCUUGUCUCUUAGAGUUAUGUCCAAUAUUGAGAGAAAAGAAAAGAGACAAGAUCAAAAAAUAAAAAAAGAGAAAAAAAAUACAGAAAAAUGAGAAAAAAAAAAUUAUGAAUAAUGGAGUCAAGAAGAGGAUUGAAUUAGAGGGUUUUGGGUGUGUGUAUAUUGUGUUUUCACUUGUUCCCCAUUGCUCCUCUAUUUCCAUUUGGUUUGUAACUUCUCAUACAUAUCAUAUCCUCCCUUGUCCUUGACCCCAUUACAUCCAUAAAAGACCUUUUGAUUUGAACAUGCAUGUGUGUUUGAGUGUUGAUAUUAGAGGCUUGCCAAGUCUAUUUGUGUUUGNUUUCUUGAGUGCAUUGAGUGACAUUGAUUUAUCUUAAACACUUGAGAGAAACACUGAUUGUGUUCAUCUGUGAGGCUCUGUUGCUUUUGAUUCGCCUCUUGAGCUGACUGAUCAUUUUGCCAUGCUCUGAAAUGCUUAGAUGAUUUCUUGAGUAUCUAUUUUCCCUGCUUUUGUGUUGGAUAUUGUCCACUUCCUUUCACUGUCCAGAUUUCUUGAGAACUGUGCAACUCUGUGUCUGUCCUUGUGAGUCUUAGUUGUCUGUAUGUUGAGUCUGUCACCUUCCUUAUGUCUGAGUUGUUCCCUGGUUUUCGUCUUGGUUUUUCCCAGGAGUGCAAAAGACUAAGUGUGGUCUAUUUUGAUGAGUCGAUAUUUUAUUGAUUUCACUUAGUUUAUUGUGCUAGAAUUAAUCAGGGAAUUGUGCUUAAUUGUCCAGUAUUUUCCCGUUUUUCCUAAUUAUGCUUAAUUUGACCGAAUAUUCUAAUUUUAAUUAAUUUGAAUUUUCUGAGCUAAUUAUUUGCAUUAUUAUUUUCAAGGAAAAUUUUGGAAACACAAAUUGGGACAUUGGGAUGGAGACAAAAUAAAUUCAAAACUCUCCACAAAAGAAGUGUGGACAACAAGAAGGGCACUAUGGUGAUUUUACCCUUUGAUGAAAAGGGGUGCAACAUGUUGAAUUGAGGGGUGCAAUCGGAUGCUGGGAUUUCAUAUUGCCGCUUAUUCCAUUUAAAUAGAAAGGGCCUGAAGGUGUCACGGCCUGACACAUGUCUAGCAAGGCUGCAACACUGGUUCAUUAAAAUAGAAGGAGCAAUGGCACAUGGAAAACAGUCAAUAAGUUCAAGAGAUGAACCAAAAGCAACAGAGUCUCACGGAUGCACACUAUCAGUGUUUCUCUCAAGUGUCUAGGUAAAUUAAUGUCACUCGAUGCACUCAAGAAAGCACACACAAACAGACUUGGCAAGCCUCCAAUAUCAACACUCACACACAUGUGCAUGUUCAAAUUAAAAGGUUUUUUCAUGGUUGUAACGGGGCCAAGGAUAAGGGAGGAUACAUCUAGAUAAGAAGAGCCUUCACAAGAGCAGCGACCUUCAUUUCUUCAUACGCCUACCAGCUGCACACGUCCAGCAAUAUCUUCAUACGGCCCAUGGGAAAUAGUUAAGAAAUUGACCCAAGUGUACAAGGGCAACAGUGAUCCAAGGGCUGAAACUCAUGCUCCUACUGCUGCACAAGUUGGCUUUAAUUUGAAUAUUUAAGAGAAAAAAAUAGUGUGGUGUGUCACGGUCCAGGCCUACACGUGAAUGGAGAAAACACAACAAAGUCCAGCAGCCUUGAUAAUAAUAUUCAGCAGCUUGAAAACAAUUGGAGGUGCACGGCCUGCAAACUGAAGCAUCAUACAUCCAUCUUCACGGGCCUGAACAUGUCCAGCGUUCCACACGCUCCAGCAACGUUCCCAGCAGCUUGGGUUGUUCAUCCGGCAACUUCCAGAAAUGCUUGGGAAGUGGUCUAAUUCAUCCAGCCUUGAGAGGUGGUGCAGUUGAAGCAUCACGGCCCAUGGCAACCAGCUACAGCAUGUGAUGGACUGAAGAAAAGCUGCACCCGAGGUAGCAAACAGCAGCACGUCACACAACUGAUUAUGGCCCAAACAGCUAGUCCAACAACCUCUUUACGGAGCAACACAUCACGGACUUGAGUGAAAGGGAAGCAACAUCCAGUGUGGGCUGAUUCAUCAAGCAGGCUGCUCAUCCAUGAAGUCACAUGUGUGCUUAAGUAUUUGGGAAACCAGCCACAAAGGAGGGUGCAGCUGCCACACCUCUUCUUCACAGCCCAGCUGUAGAGAGUCCAGUAAUGUAGGGUAGGUUGGAAUAAAAAGAGCAAUCGUCACAGGCCCAUACUUGGCAAACAUCCACGAGGCUUUGGAGUAGCAUGUCUCGGCCUGUUUCAGGAGCAGCAGCAUGUCACCAUCCUUUAACUAGCAGCAACUUUCAGGCUAAGGCAGCAUAUGCACUUGGGCUUGCGAAAGCAACUCAUUUUCAUUUUAAGCAGGAAGGGUGUCACGACCCAGCAUCAAAUAGAGAACUUCCAGCAGCUUUGGAGCAUCUCCAACUGUCCAACAUCACUUGAACAAGCAAAAAGGUUGCAACAAGCUGAUUCAAAUUAAAGCGAGGGCCUUAGAUAAUUUACUUGCAAGUCCAGCAGCUUGGGAUGUCCUGUAGCACGAAGCACACGUCCAGCAAAAGGCAUGAUGGGUUGAUUCAUGGGCUAACAAUCAACUGUGCACAUCAUGGAGAGAAGGAGGUGCACGCUCAAGAGCUAGAGCAGCAGCACCCCACGAGCAGUUGCAGCCCACACGAGAAGAUGUUGCUGUUACGGCCCAUGGCAGCUUUUGGAGAAGAAAGCAGCAUGCUAGCAGGUGUGUGCUUGGAUUAUUUGGUGCAGCAGCGUGUGUGAUCUUGAGCCGGGGGUUGUUUCAUUUGAGGGGUGCUGGCUGGAGAAGGAAAAGAAGCACGUGGCCCAACACUUGAAGCAGCAAGUAGGGCACCUCGGGAUUGCUGGAGGGGGGCUGCCACACACAGUUAAAAAAAAGAAGGAGGACUGUUACAUUGAGGGGGGCUGGAACAGGAGCACGUUGUUGCAGCCACCACACACUCAUUUUCGUUUCUUUGAAGAUUUAGGGACACGGUUGAGCUCUAGGGGGUUGUCAUUAUUUUCUUUACUUUCUGCUUGAACUGAGAAGAGAUUUUUAAUUUCAAAAGUCUUUUCAUUUAAAUAUAUUCCACUUGGUAAUGAUUUGCAUUCUCCUCUUUUCUUUUGCUAUGGUCCGUGAUUUUAAUUUGGGUUAAGCAUUUUUGCAUUGAGUCUCUCUCUGAUUCCAACACGCGGUGGUUUAUUUAUUUUGAGGCCAUUUAUUUCUUUACUUCNAGAGGUUGCAUACCUCCUUUUGAAUUGAAGUUUCAUUUGUCUAAUCAUUACUCUUUUAUACGAAUAUGCACUCUGAACUUAAUUCUUAUUUAGCAAUUUUCAGUUUAAGUAGUUAAUGCCCU